GACGAACGCUGGCGGCGUGCUUAACACAUGCAAGUCGAACGCUGAAGCCCUUUCGGGGGUGGAUGAGUGGCGAACGGGUGAGUAACACGUGGGUAAUCUGCCCUGUACUUCGGGAUAAGCCUUGGAAACGGGGUCUAAUACCGGAUAGGACCUGUCCUCGCAUGGGGGUGGGUGGAAAGUUCCGGCGGGAUGGGAGGAGCCCGCGGCCUAUCCGCUUGUGGGUGGGGUAGUGGCCUACAAAGGCGACGACGGGUAGCCGGCCUGGGAGGGUGACCGGUCACACUGGGACUGAGACACGGCCCAGACUCCUACGGGAGGCAGCAGUGGGGAAUCUUGCGCAAUGGGCGAAAGCCUGACGCAGCAACGCCGCGUGGGGGAUGACGGCCUUCGGGUUGUAAACCUCUUUCGACAUCGACGAAGGGGCCCUGUUGUGGGGUUUUGACGGUAGGUGUAGAAGAAGCACCGGCUAACUACGUGCCAGCAGCCGCCGUAA
rnacentral:rRNA from 1 species